rnacentral:lncRNA from 1 species
GUCAUCAGUGGUGAGUGGCUGGGGGCCCCUGACCCAGUGCCACAUUAAGGGCUGAUUUCUUUUCCUUCAUGCAAGCUUGCCUGGUGCAGCCUAAGCUCAGAUAGGCCUGACGAAUGCUCUCUGGGGUGAUCAGAUCCAUGGGCAACUGAUCGUCUUUCAAAUGGUAACAAUAUCUGACUCAUAGAAUUCUCGUCAAGGUAAGGUAAGCUAAUGUAUUUACAGUUCCUUCUGCAGUGUCUGGAACAGAGUAGGCAGUCGUAACUCAUAGCUAUUAUUAUUAUUACUAUUUGCUAGGUUUGAUGCCAGGAAUAAUAGGAGGGAAGAUAAAGCAUCUCUCUUCCUUAAAGUGAACAGAUUUUAUUUGAGAAAAUGAGCUGUGUGCUCAAGAUAAUUUAACAGACCUUACAAGGGAUUGUUGAAAGAGCUAAACACACAGUGGAGGGGCUACCCACCUUCUCUCUGUCUUCCGGGAGCUACCUACCUGACACAUCCUGAGUCAUACAAGGACUUGCACUUUUUGAAUGUUCUCUAAAGCCCUGGGUAGUACAUGUGAGCUACCAGGUCAUCAUCUAUAUCUGCAUUAAGGCUCUCAGUGGCACUAGAUGGUGAGCAGCUUUGGAGAUUGACUGGUUGAUCUGACUGAGGAUCCACAAGCUCUGCACAGAUGUGGGCUUAAGAAACAUGGGGAGGCAGAGAGUCCUGGGGAGCUCUCGACGUGGCCAACCCAGAGGCAGUGGGAUGAACCUGAGGACUUCCAAGGCUAUUCCAGCCCCGAGACAUUAAACUUCUCCAAGCCAGAACUGCAGAAGCGAG